UUGCUUUAGAGGAAUUAGAAAGAAGGAUGGC
rnacentral:piRNA from 1 species